CAAACUUCCACUAAAAUUACUGAACCAAAACAACGUUUACAAAAAUUCUUUGUAAACCUAAGGACUAACUCUAAUUUCGCUGAGGCACACAACCUCAACUAUUGCGUCAACUUCAAGUUAACUCUAACUUGAACACUCUAGGUACCUAAUACAAUACUUCUAUGAAAGCUUAAGGUACAAUAUAAAAUCACCUACUACAAUUGAACCAAAAUAAAAGAUUGACACAUGGAACUGGUUCUGCUAUCUCGUUCAAGUAGCUUUAAGAUUGCACACUCCAAUCACACAUAAAUUACUUGCAAAAUCGCCUUGCUCUGUUGCUCUCAAUUUAAGUUUCACUUAUGCUUAUGUGUAUUUUUGUAAAAGAGAACAACACUGACAUUUAAUAGGUUAGUAAUCAAACUUUGACCAGGCUUCAAUUGCUACUUUUCUAUCGUAGACGAGUUCAUAAUGAUCUCAAACUCUAACACUAUCCCAUCCUAAACUAUGUUCUGUUCAUAUAAGGAGUAUUUCUCUCCUUAUCCAAUAUGUAACCUUUUCGAUCAGAUCAGAGAUAUUGCUGCUUGAUCAGUUAGACUUAUCUCAUUCACGUGCAUCUCACAUGUAUAGGUUGAUCAAGAUAGUGCUUCACAAGAUGUACCUGGUCCAUGUCUGAGUUCUUUUAUCAAUCUUCAAAACUUCACCUAUUCUUGGGCCAACAAAUUCCUUCUUUUUGAUGAUGACAAACUCUGUGCUUUUUACUUAUUUGGAUCCUGUAAGAACUCAGCUUAACCAUCAAUACAAAGUUUAGAAAAUUUACUUAUCAUCAAAGACCAAGUUAAUUAGGUUCUAAAUAUCACUUAUUCAGAAUGUGUAAAGCACAAUAUCUCUUCCCCCUUUUGGCAUCAUCUAUAAGUUGCUUACAAAGUGUAACUCCCAUAUUUUAAUAAAUACUCAUGUCCAUUGGGGCAACUGCAAGUGCAAUCAUGAUUUAAUCAUUAGUAAUCAAGUAAACAUAUUUAAUCUAUCAAGAAAAGAUUAACAUUGCACAAGAGCAAAAAAGUAGUUAUCAUUGAUAGAGAUAUGUUGCAUCGCAAUCCAUAAUAAGAAAGAAAAAACAUUUAAAACAUGAGCAAAAAGAUAGAAAAAUCUCUAAUAUGGGUCACCGAAGGUAUUGGACAGAUUCAGAAGACAAAAGAUAGGAUUCCUAAGGCUUGGAGGAGCUAGAGGGUUAGUUUGGGCUUGGAGAAGAUUCAACAUAUUAUGAAAAAUUCCAUCAUUCUUCUCCUUUUCUUUGGUACCUCAGUUCUGAGAGCAUCCCUCUCAGAUUCCACCUCUGCCACACGAGCCUUAAGCCUAGCUAUCUCAGCAUCCUUGGCUUCACAUUCCUAGACCAGAGCCCCGACUUUGCUGUUGAUAGGAGUCUUCUUGGAUGAACCGGUUCAUUUGGGAUGGCACUGACUAAGUAGUCACAAGCAAUUAGAGUGUUAAUGCCAAAAUGAUCCUUGCUUGAGGCAAUUUACCAUUUUUCAGAGGUAUAUUGAACCUAUCCAGAACCGUGGUCAGAAUAAAGCCAUAAGGGUAGCAUGAGCCUUGGUGCCAUUGAUGACCCUCUCCAGCAGCUUGAUGAUGAAGGUAGGCCAAUUAAUUUGCCUUCUACUUUCCAGGCACUCCAUAAGAACUAGUUCCAUAUAAUUGGCAAUGUGCCUUCUAUCCUGUCUGGGCAAUAGGAACUUAUUUACAAAUUUAAACAAGAUCUUGUGUUUAUGCCUCAUUUCACUUUUCUGAAUAGCCGUGUCUUCAUUUAUAUCCCCAGCAUCACAGAACCGCCUGGUAAUUUCAAGGGCAGUAGGAAAGGAGUCCAUACAAAGCCACCUUUACCUUGUAUAAUCAUCAAACCCUUCAAAGGGUAUAUUAAGGAUUUCUCCACGUUUUUCUGCAUCAAAGGACAAUUGAACCUCUUUUACUAGGCUGCUAACCUUGCCAUCCCGAACCUCUGCAUUUGCCUUAAACUCAAUUAUCUCAUUCCUGGCUAGCUUACCAUCCAUCCAUCUAAUGGACCAUGUCCUUCCACUCCUGAGCAGCUAAGGCAUCCACUAGUCUUAUCAUUCCUGGCUCCACCAAAUCUUUCAGCAGUCUACCCUUCAAAAUCUUUCUUUUGCCAAUCAUGGCAAGCUUGUCUUUUUCACCAUCAGAAUUAUCUUCUAUUUAUUUUCCACUCCGUUCCUCAUCUUUUAAAAUUUUCACUUUUUUCCUUUCACAAUAGACCUUAUCCUUUUGUCUAGUGAAGGUUUAGCCGCUUUAGACACAGAGGAAGACUUCUUGGAAGAAGUUUUGGGAUUUUUGGGCUUGGGGGUAUGAACCUCCACUGGUUGAACUUCCUCCUGAUGGACCUGUUCCAUCUCCUCAACCUCCACAUCAUCAGAGGAAUCUGUAACCUUCCCUUUUCCUUUAGCCAGCUUUUUCUUCUUACUCGGAGCUAGAGCUUUUUGGAGAUAACUCUCACUCUGCUUCACCAUAUUUCUUGUAGCUCCACCUUUCGGCAAUGAAAAUUCAGUAGUUGUUGGGGAUGGAGCCUUUCUUUUCUUUGAGGGUUUAGGAAAAUUGAGGCUUUUAGUGUGGGAGUUCUGCAUUUCUUUGGGUCAUAUCUUGCCCCAGCCUUUUUCAGCAGGUCUGCUAGGGUCUCUUUAGUAGAUGAACUUGGUUCAUCUCCCUGUGCGCUCAGAUUAACCAGCCCCUCAACAGCUUUCCUAGAACCACUUCCCCUGACUUCUUGCCACUCUCUUCUACCCUUUCUUGUUCAACCCCACAUAUAGUAGACACAAGCAAAUCAGCAGUGGGUAAAUUAUCAACCACUUUUUUCCCAUUUCCUCUUUCUUCACCACAUGCACCCUCUCUCUCUUUUUCUUUGUCAGAAUUUAUUUUACCUCCACUCCUUCACGACCCAGGUAAUUCAACAUCCUUAACAGACGCAACCAGAAUAAACCUAUUUUCUAGAUUUUUAGACACAUAAGAAAUUACCUUAGAAGGGGAUUCUGGAGUCUUUUCUGAAUCAGAAGACCCAAGUUAUUCCCCCUCACUAGCAAAUUUAUAUGAUUCAGAAUGAGAGUUGGAGUCAGAAUUAUGGGCCUGGAUUGUCUUUAACUUCUCAUUUAAUUUAUUCCUGAGAGCCCAGACACAAUUGUUUUUCGAGCAAGCAUUGUCACCCUUCUCAACCUAGGUUUCGUAGAUGUUCUAGGUGGAGGAGGUGUAGAUGAAUUAGAGGGAGUGGGUGGUAGAAGAGUUCCAGGAUUGUCUUGUGAGUUGGUCAUGAUCGUUAGUUUUUUGAGAGAAUUUGUGAGUUAGAAUUUUGGAGAAGAGGGCAAGUGAGAGUGAAGAAGGAUUUUUGACGGUUUGGAAAUAUAGAGAUGGCAGAAGGAAUGAUGUGUAUUUAAAGAGAAAUACACAUUUAAUGGGUAACGACAACUUUAGCAGUGGUAAAUUAAAGGUCUAAUCAACCUGAAAUUGCAGGUUUGAAUGAUUGGUUUAACCUCCCUAGAACUUAGGAAAUUUUUCCGGUUUAGAGUUCUAAGCAGACAGAAGUGAUUCAAAGCUAACAUAUAGAAUUUUCUAGGAAUUGAACAAUUAUAGGACUUCUGCUCAUGAUUUAAAUAUUUAUAUUUCCAAUUGUUUAGAGUAUAGAAAACAUAUCUUAGCUUUCAGAUGAAUCCAUACUGAUGAACCUAAUUCUUCAUUUAGAAUUCUCUUGAACAUGCCUCAGAUUACCAUAUUAGAGAAAAUUUUAUUAGAGAUCAGUGAGUUGUCAACGCCGCCUUUUUAUCGAGGGAAAAGAAUCGGGUUUACGAUAUUAUGGGUGGAAUGACUCCUUUAUCCCUCUUUGGGGGGAUUUAGGCUAUGGAGUUUGGAGAGAUUAUAGUGAAUUAGGACUCUUUUAGAGAAACGAAGAAGGAUUUGAAGGAAAACCAGAGAUAAGGUAAGGGCUUGAGAUUAUCUCGAGGGGAAAGUGUUAGGCACCCCUCAAGAUCCACUAGUGUGGUUCCCGGCCUUGCUUAGUUGUGACUUUAAGAAGAAUAGGAGUAGACAAGCAAAGUUGCACAUAAGAAAUACAAGCAAGUUGACAAUUUUGAAAGAAGAAAGCAACAAGUACAAAAGAGAGCUUAGUUUGAAGAAAACAUUAAUUUUCAAUAAAGGAAAAGCAGAGGGAAAAUGGGUCCUAUGUUUAACUAUAAUAUGGAUCAUUCGGCGCAAUACUCCCACACAUAUUCCUCAAAAGAGGGGUCACCUUAUGAUAUUAGCGCACCGUCAUCAUCUCCAUAUUCUAUCCUUCCCACCCCGUUAAGGUAUUCAAGUGCGAUCAGUCUUGUUUACCUAUUACAUGCUAAUACCCGUCCCGACCUAUCAAUCCCGGGGUAUUUAGACUUCUAAUAUUAAAGGGGAGAAAGGGAUGGGGCAUAUAUGGAGUUUAAAAGAACAAAAUACUAAGACGUUAAUCAAAACAAAUUGCAAAUAAGUGGGGUACAGAUCAAACACUCAAAGGCUCAUACAAACCCGUAAAUCACAACAACAAUUAGUUUAGCAUGACUUGCAAGUAUUGAUUUGGUCUUUAAUUAAAGAAAUUUAAGAGGCGGACGAAUCAGCUUAACUGAGAAAGUUGGAUAAAAAGUCUGCAUCGAGCCCCUUGGGUCUGAUUUGUUAGUUAUUGAGAUCUUAAUGUAGAAGAGCUUUAAGAGAAAGUAAAACUGUGGUAAGUUAGUAAGUAGAUUUGAAAUCAGCUGACCGUUUGAGUAGAGAAAUACAGAAGUUAUGAAAGAACUUUUUAGAGACAGGAACAUCUUAAGAAAAGAUGGGUUAGAGGGCUGUUUUUAAAAGGCAAUUUCAUGGACUGAGUAAAACAUUUAGGCAGAUAGUCGUUUAGGAAAAGAUGCAUAUUUGAAAUGUUUUAAAAGCAUACUGGUUUACAGGGGUUUUAUUGAAAACAUUACAUUAGGAUUUUAAUGACCCAUUAACAGACUGUUGUUACUUUAAGCAAAUUAGACAAGUUGAGACGGAGUCGUAUAUGCAUGAUAUCUAUUUAUCCGAUUCAUUACUCCUUUUAGAACAUUAGGGAACUGGUUAAUUAAUUAACCUACUGUUUGCCUAGCGUUUUAUGUGUUUCCUAUAGGCAUGAUUUCUAUGUGCUUACAAUGCAGAAGUCCUACAAACAUGAUCUUUAAACUAUUUGCGAUAUCAAAAUCCUAUAGGCAUAGUUUCUAGAUGAUUUGCAAUAUUAAAAAAAGUCCUGUAGACAGGAUUUCUAAAUGAUUUGUAAUAUUAAAAUCCUAUAGACAUGGUUUCUAAAUGAUUUGCAAUAUUAAAGUCCUAUAGGCAUGGUUUCUAUAUGAUUCGCAAUAUUAACGUCCUAUAGGCAUGAUUUCUAAAUAAUUUGCAAUAUUAAAGUCCUAUAGGCAUGGUUUCUAAAUGAUUUGCAAGCAAUAUAAACCCAUCCCACACUCUUUAUAGAUAUUUCCCCGAGUUUUUUUACAUAGUUAUUUCAAAACUGAAAGAAAAGGACUGAAAUAAAUACAUCAAAACUAAAGCCAGACCCGACGAGGCUCAAUGCAACCUUCAACAUCCACCACAUGUUUCACCAAAUCCAGAUUCCAGAUUACAAGGCCUUCUCUUAGAGUGUUUCAAAGUUCCAAGGGCUUUUAGGAAGCCCAGUUAAUGCUUACACCCUAAAGGAUUAAUGUGGUAACAGAGUAGUGCAAUGUGUGGAAUUACCAGCCCUUAGGCAUCCAAGUACAGAGGAAAUUCUNNNNNNNNNNNNNNNNGGGGGGGGGGGGGGAGGGAAGAACUUAAUGAACUAAGAAUAAGUGUAAAGUGAGGGGAUUAGAGGAAACCAAAGAAAGGGUGGUCAUACCCAGCCAUGGCUAAGACUGGCACACCCCUGACCCUUUACUUAAUUUUAAACAGAUAAAGAGCAGACUUUAGAUAUCAGACAUGGGUUUGGGUGGUGAUUAGGACACCAAGAGACCCUAGUCAAGGCUCAACACAUAAAGGGGUUAAGGGAAUGGGACUGAUUUGAGUAAAGGUUCAAGAGAACCUGGUCCCAGGUCAGGGAUAGCAAUAGGGUGCUACCCCAGCUUAGAGCCAAUACUCACACAUAAAAGGGGCAUAAAGGGAAUGUAAUCACAUUAAAGCACUUAUAUAAACAUGAAUGGAGUAUAAGAAAAACAAAACAACACUUUAAUGAUGCCGAAGCAUGAAGAAAGUCAUAACAGACUAAUGGAUAGUCGUAUAAUGCAAGAAAACAUGUAGUGAGAGGUUAUGUAAAGGAAGAAGUGAACACAUAGUUUUAGAGAAUAAUAUUUAAGUUAUAGAGACAUACUAGUUACAAUUUCAAAUAGCAGAAUAAAUAAAGCAGGAAAUCAGCUAGAAAAUUCAGUCAAGCUUCAGCAGAUACUUGAGAAAACAAGCAGGAUUCUAUAGUCUAGCCUUGGCUUUCAGCCGACUAGACACAAACAGUAGUGAAGGUAGCAGAGAAGAGAGGAGAGUUUAGAGUGUGUGUGCGUGUGUGUGUUUUGAACUCUAAUUGUUUGUGAGUUUAAAGAAAAUGAGUAGGAUAUUUAUAGUUUGAAAACAUGUGGUAAGUAAGGCAAAAUAUAAUUAAGUAUCAAAUCUGAAUCAAUCAGGAGAAGGGAAUCCCUUUAAUUAAGGAGUUCGAACUUAGAAUAGUAAAGGGCAGAGUUUAUUUAAGGAAAGAAGACCAGGAACACAUGGUGCAAUCAAGGAUAAAUACAUAAGGGAAGUUUUAGUAUACUCGGUUUAGGCAAAUAAGGCAAGAGUAUAAUCAAUUAACACACAGUAAAUCAAGGAAUUACUGAUUCGAACUCAGUAAUGAGUUAAGUUAGAAAACAGGUCCGAAUCAGACAAAGGCAGAAUCAAAUAAGCUUACAUAGAAAUCAAUCCCCAAAAUUAGGGUUAAAAAUGUUUGACUAUAAAAGAUGUAUAACUUAAACAUGCAGGUUAUAUAAACAGAGUAGUCGUGUAAUCAAAAAAGCAAGAAGAACAUAGUCAUGAAUGAACUCAGAAGGUCUUGCAAAGCUUAGCAAGAUUCAGAGAACAUGAGCUUAGAAGAUUAGGGUUUUAAAAUCAAGCAGGAAGCAAAAUAAUCGCACACAAGUAGUUUGAAAAAAACCCCCAAAAUCUAGGGUUUCUUCCACAAGUCAAAUGUAGAGUCAAUAGCAUAUAAAAUCAGGCAAAAAAAUAAACUCAGGAAGUCCAAAUAACCCAAAUACAUUCAGUAGCAAAACUAAAUAAAAUUAAAACUUCAACUCUUCAAUUUUAUUCAUGCUUCAUGUUAUCAACUUACAAUAGCCAUUGUUACAGUCGUGUACCUCGUAUUUGGAAAGCAAAGAAGAGGAAGAAAUCAGUUGUGCGGCAGUAGCACAACAUAGCAACAACAGGUUCAGCAACAAAAGCGGUAAACCAGUAACCAAAGACUGAAUUCUUAAGUUCUCACUUUUUAUGUUUAAGAAAAGACCUCACUUUUUAUGUUUAAUUCUCAAAGACUAAAUUCUUAAGUUCUGAAAAUUUUAUCUCUCGAAAUUCUUCUUGUAUUGAAAUAUUUUUUUUCUCUCCGAUCUCCCCCCUCCUAAGUAUUAAAUUACUGCUAUUAUAUAUCCCAAAAUGCAAGACUCUUUCCCUAUUCUUUUAACUACUAUUACUACCCUUUUUAUCAUUAGCUACUUUUUCUAAUUCCCAAUCAGCAAAAGCAGUCAAACGUGGACCCCAUGUCCCCACCCUCUUUUACUUUAAUGAUUAUGCUCCCCACAUGUCUUGUCCCCUCUUUUUACUUUACAUAAUUAUGUUCCCCACUAUUUUUUAAAUAAUUUUUUUAUAUUUUAAUUCCAAAAUCCCUCAAACUACUAAAAUUCCCAUAAUACCCUCAUCCCUACAAUAUGUACAAAAAAUUAUCAGAAAAACACCAACUUCCUACAGUUAUAACCAAAUUCCUAAUCAAAUUCAACAACAAUUCAAACUAAAU
rnacentral:lncRNA from 1 species